rnacentral:antisense_RNA from 1 species
GUUUAUGGCGGGCCAUGGUGGGGAUACCUUCGGGUAUGCCGGUUCCAAGUUCCGGUUCGCCAACCCCGCCAUGUGCCUGCCACCCCC